GGCGGUCAUAGCGUGGGGGAAACGCCCGGUUCCAUUCCGAACCCGGAAGCUAAGGCCCACAGCGCCGAUGGUACUGCAACCGGGAGGUUGUGGGAGAGUAGGUCGCCGCCGGAC
rnacentral:rRNA from 1 species